rnacentral:rRNA from 1 species
AUUGAACGCUGGCGGAAUGCUUUACACAUGCGAGUCGAACGGCAGCACGGGGGCAGCCCUGGUGGCGAGUGGCGAACGGGUGAGUAAUACAUCGGAACGUGCCCGGUCGUGGGGGAUAACGUAGCGAAAGUUACGCUAAUACCGCAUACGAUCUGAGGAUGAAAGCGGGGGACCUUCGGGCCUCGCGCGAUCGGAGCGGCCGAUGUCAGAUUAGGUAGUUGGUGGGGUAAAGGCCUACCAAGCCGACGAUCUGUAGCUGGUCUGAGAGGACGACCAGCCACACUGGGACUGAGACACGGCCCAGACUCCUACGGGAGGCAGCAGUGGGGAAUUUUGGACAAUGGGCGCAAGCCUGAUCCAGCCAUUCCGCGUGCAGGACGAAGGCCUUCGGGUUGUAAACUGCUUUUGUACGGAACGAAAAGGCUCUGGCUAAUACCUGGGGCUCAUGACGGUACCGUAAGAAUAAGCACCGGCUAACUACGUG